rnacentral:lncRNA from 12 species
ACUAAAGACUACUAAAUAGCCCUAAUAAAGUUAGUCAGCUGCUUUUCACGGAGCCUCAGUUGCGUUAACGGGAGGCCAGCUGUGCAGCGGAGCUAUGAAUCGGUUUUGUGUGUGUCAGUUUGAGAGCAGAAGCGAGAGGAAAGCAGACUCGCUCCAUGUAAGAGAAGGAGGAGACCAGGUGAGGUUGGGCCUUGGAAGGAGAGAGAGGGAGACAGUCGUCAGCCACGGAACAUCAAAGAGCAGAUGGAAAUGAAAUAGCUCGUGUUUGCUGUAACGCAUGUGAUUGUGAAUUCAAGGCUAAUGCUUCAAAGGCACUACUGACAUUUGGGGCCACAUACUUGUUCCCCGAGGGGGCUGCCCCGUGCGCUGGGGCUGCUGAGCUGCAUCCCCAGCUGCUGACCACCAACCAGUAGCAUCUGCCUCCUUCCGUCAGCUAUGAGGACUUAAAAUGUGUCUGGGCAUCACCACGUGCCGCCCUGGGAAGCAAAAUCAUCACUGGCUGAGAAGCACUGUGUUGUGUCCGGAGCCAAGCUGGAGAGGCCAACAAGAUGAAGAUUCUAACGGGGAGGGACGCAUUUACUUUAUUCCUUCACACCUGCGUAUCUGUUGCCUGUGCAGGCUGCAGGCUCUUCUGUUACAACAACCGUCCAACACGACGUCUGAAAUGUCCUAAGGCUAAAGUCACGGACUGCCAGGCCCCCUGCCUUGCUUGGCCUGUGGCUGUGUCUUAUUUGGCUCUUUGACACAUCCAGAACGUUGACAUUAACGUAGAGAUUUACCACUUUCCUGAAAGGGUCACAAGAUGGUUCAACAGCGGACCUGCGCUGCCGCGUAAGCAGGGAUCCGUAGUUCCCGGAGCUGACCAUCAGCUUCCUCCUGAGGAGAGGUGCCCACUCAGCAGUUGGCAGAGCUCCCUGCAUCGUCUUGACAUUGCUCUUCUUGCUCCUUGUCUUGCCCACGUUACUGGCCCGGCCCCUGAAGGUAUGUGAAUUUUCAACCACUAGUGUAAGUGCCCCUGGACUGUUGAUGAUCACUGGUCUCGGAUUUCACAUUGGGCGUCCUGAUAUUAUGUGGGGGGGACACGAGGAAACAGAGGUCACCAUAGAGCAGUGUGGCGCGAAGCUGGGUUUAUUCCUUUGACCAAGGAGAACUGCCUUACACAAGUGCAAAAUCAGCAGGUCUUUCUGAACAAAAACUGAAAGGGCUAGCCAUGAGUUGCAGAGAAAGUACAUCAAAUACGUACUGAGUAUAAGCCCGAGGCAGGUUGCAAAUUCCUCUUUGCCAUUGGUCAUGGCCCAAAGCAGGAUGAACGUUCUGGAAAAGAACCACCGCAGACGCUGUGGGGCACAAGCCAGCUUAGCGCCGUGUAAAUCUGGAUGUGCACGCUGAGGACCGGUAGGAAAUUGUUCAACAAUGACGAAUAAUAGUCACCAUUUUUGUUUAAAGAUGUAUGUAUUUACGCGUGAGAGAGAGGGAGUGGGAUGUGGGGAGGGACACAGGGAGAAUCUCAAGCCGAAUCUGCACUGACCGGGCUCGAUCCCCGGACCCCGAGAUCAGGACCCGAGUUGAAAUCAAUUCAGAUGCUUAGCUGCCUAAGCCACCCAGGCGCCCCAGGGGAACUAUGAUUCAGAGUCAGGUGGCAUGACUGAGACAAGAGGUCGCCCGGGGUCUCGUUUGAUCCUUGACACUAGAUCUCUCCGGAUCGGAUCGCUCGGUGGUGGUAGGCAGAGGCCAUCCAGUGCGUUGGAGUUGGGCUCCUCGAGUCCUGCAGCCCACUCUUUCCCCGUACCUCUGGGGAGUUUCCUGGGCCCUGGAACUUCCCUAGCACGACUCUAGUGCAUUGUACCGCGCAGAUGCUCCCGGCUCCCAGCCCCACGGGGAAAUUAGGCCAGGCUGGAUAUUUCCCCAAACAGGACUUUCAUUCUCUCCAGACAAUGUGAUAAAUCAGUCAAUCUCAUGCCCAUGGAUUUGGAACAUGAAAGUACAUUAUUGCUUUAUCAGUGGACCUGCUUUUAGGCAAACACAUCGAAACAGGCUUCAUGCCCCUUGAUCUGUAGUUGACAGGAUGAUUAAUAACCAUUUGACAUUUUAAAAGUGAAUUCUCAAGGCAUGACAAAUAGAUGGAAAUACUAACCAGUCAGCGUGUUUACAAAGUACUUGUCUCCCAUGAAUCCAGUAACGUGACGGUCCUUCCGAUUUGGGUCAUGAGAUUAUUAGAACAUCUUGUCCUGAGGAAAGAGAGAAAAGGAACCCCUCGAAGAUGUUGUAAGUACAAUAGUACUUAAGGAGAUGAGAUUUUGAUAUAUUUGGAUAGUUUAUGGCUUCUAGUGACUUGUCCUUAAAAUUUCUGUCUUUAAUGUCACCUUCCUUUACAUUUUUUUAAUUGUGGUAAAGUGUAUAUCAUAAUACUUCCCAGUACAUAAUAUUUCCCAUUUUCACUAUUUUUAAGUGUAUAGUUCAGUACCCUAAUUUACUUCUUUUUAAAAUUGCUUUUUUGCUAAUAAAAAAUUGUAGAAGACAAAUUCGUUUAGGUCU